rnacentral:rRNA from 1 species
UACCUACGGGGCGCAGCAGUAGGGAAUCUUCCACAAUGGGCGAAAGCCUGAUGGAGCAACGCCGCGUGGGUGAAGAAGGUCUUCGGAUCGUAAAACCCUGCUGUUAGAGAAGAAAGUGCGUGAGAGUAACUGUUCACAUUUCGACGGUAUCUAACCAGAAAGCCACGGCUAACUACGUGCCAGCAGCCGCGGUAAUACGUAGGUGGCAAGCGUUAUCCGGAUUUAUUGGGCGUAAAGGGAACGCAGGCGGUCUUUUAAGUCUGAUGUGAAAGCCUUCGGCUUAACCGGCGUGGUGCAUUUGACAU